ensembl:snoRNA predicted gene, 23906
AGUACCCUGUAGGUGUUGCAGUUGUGGCCACUGUGUCACUUUUGCGUCAGUAGAUGGCAGAGAGAAGAAAGGCUAUGUCUAUGCUCAGUGUUCUGACCUGUAUAAAUCUGAAUGAUCAGUAUCCUGGAAAA